AUGGGUUUUUCUUCCGUGGACGGGCAGAGAAUGCCUUCAUGGAUUUAUUUGGGUAUGAAUGCUGGUAGGGCCUUCCACUCCAUUAGUUGGAAGCAGCAACUGAUGCCAUGGCCGACUGCAUCAGGUGUUUGUUGGAAGCUGGCCCUGAUCCAAAAGUUUUGGCCCCUGUCUCUAGCGCUGGCCCGGGUUCGCCGGAUGGUGCCCGUCGGCGUUGCUGGCCGUGGCCGGGCCUCCCUUGCGCCGCCCAACCUCUCGUGGUUGGAUGCUCCUGACCGGAGUUGGCAUCUGGGGCGGAGCAGCUGUGGGAUGCCGAACAACCUCACCGCACAUGACGGCGGUUUUUCAUGCCCUAAUGCCACACUUGAUCCCUCCCUUUGUAUCUGCUGGCCACGAAUCACUCGUAUCUGCUGUUGA
rnacentral:rRNA from 1 species